AUCUCUCCGAUUGCCUAGUGGUUAGAAUGUCCGCCUCGGAUGCGGGAGGUCGCGGGUUCGAACCUCGGUUGAGUCAUA